GACGAACGCUGGCGGCGUGCCUAAUACAUGCAAGUUGAGCGCUGAAGGUUGGUACUUGUACCAACUGGAUGAGCAGCGAACGGGUGAGUAACGCGUGGGGAAUCUGCCUUUGAGCGGGGGACAACAUUUGGAAACGAAUGCUAAUACCGCAUAAAAACUUUAAACACAAGUUUUAAGUUUGAAAGAUGCAAUUGCAUCACUCAAAGAUGAUCCCGCGUUGUAUUAGCUAGUUGGUGAGGUAAAGGCUCACCAAGGCGAUGAUACAUAGCCGACCUGAGAGGGUGAUCGGCCACAUUGGGACUGAGACACGGCCCAAACUCCUACGGGAGGCAGCAGUAGGGAAUCUUCGGCAAUGGACGAAAGUCUGACCGAGCAACGCCGCGUGAGUGAAGAAGGGUUUCGGAUCGUAAAACUCCGUUGGUAGAGAAGAACGUUGGUGAGAGUGGAAAGCUCAUCAAGUGACGGUAACUACCCAGAAAGGGACGGCUAACUACGUG
rnacentral:rRNA from 1 species